GACGAACGCUGGCGGCGUGCUUAACACAUGCAAGUCGAACGGAAAGGCCCUGCUUUUGUGGGGUGCUCGAGUGGCGAACGGGUGAGUAACACGUGAGUAACCUGCCCUUGACUUUGGGAUAACUUCAGGAAACUGGGGCUAAUACCGGAUAGGAGCUCCUGCUGCAUGGUGGGGGUUGGAAAGUUUCGGCGGUUGGGGAUGGACUCGCGGCUUAUCAGCUUGUUGGUGGGGUAGUGGCUUACCAAGGCUUUGACGGGUAGCCGGCCUGAGAGGGUGACCGGCCACAUUGGGACGGAGAUACGGCCCAGACUCCUACGGGAGGCAGCAGUGGGGAAUAUUGCACAAUGGGCGGAAGCCUGAUGCAGCACCGCCGCGUGCGGGAUGACGGCCUUCGGGUUGUAAACCGCUUUCGCCUGUGACGAAGCGUGAGUGACGGUAAUGGGUAAAGAAGCACCGGCUAACUACGUG
rnacentral:rRNA from 1 species